rnacentral:lncRNA from 1 species
GGGCAGUAGCCCGAGUGGCCAGGGCUGCUGCCCUCCAACUUGGAGGGCAGCAGUUCGAACCCCCACAAAAGCAUUGUGGGGGUAUUUCCUUGUUCAAUUAAUUUGAGUGAAGGUAGUCUUCUCUAUUACCCAUGAGUGAGGAGUAGACAUCUCUCGAAUAUUUGUGAGGGUUAAAAUCUGGGCAGAGCUCCAUUAGCAUUGAUGUCAGUUGGUCCCAGUAAUAGUCUGAUUUGUAAAUAUCAGUAAUAGUCUCAUGUAUAUGAGUUGUAAUCUGAGCAAUAGUCUCAUGUAAUAAAAAAAAAAAAUGGGUAAUGAGAGUUUGUUU